AAGUGUUUCUAAAAUUCUCUAUGGGAAAAAUGAAUGGUUUAAAAAUGAUUGGAACCAUUUCCCUGUUGGACCGAUAGGUGUUAUAUGACACCUCCACUGCUCUAUUUUCUUCAAUGUUUUGAUGGAAAAUUUGCAGGGCUGAUGUUACAAGAUGGUAGCCUAGCAGUUAAGAGCAUUUGGCCAGUAACCAAAAGGUUGCUGGUUCAAAUCCCUGAGCUGACUAGGUGAAAAAAUAUCAAUUUUUAUUUCUAAGUAUCCUUGAGCAAGGCACUUAACUCUAAUUGCUCCUGUAAAUCGCUCUGGUUAAUGGCGUCUGCUAAAUUACAAAAAAUAAAGAUGGACCACUAGAGGGCGCAUGAGACUGUUGGAGGAGGGACUACAUUUUGACAUCCAGUACAGCAGGUGGCAGUAACGCACCUUUCUCUGUCAUGUCAAGCUGGCAGAAGGAUAUAUCUACUGUACUGUCGUUGACAUAUCCGUGUGUUCAAUUUCAUCCGUUUAUUUUAAUUUUAAAUUGAACAUAACGGUUCAUAAUCAACUACCAAAUACAAGAUGUGGCAGCCCGAUCCUUUCCACAAUGAGUUGGUCUCUAUUAUGGAUGAAUUAAUCAUGUCGUUGGAGGAGGAAAUUUGCAAAUGUAUGGCGUUGUCAGUCUCCUCAACACAAUACAGCACAGACAUUGAUGCAGGAGAGACAGGGGAAAUUGAAAGAGAAUCCAAGUUGCUAAAAGUCGAGUUGACAUGUGUGAUGAAAAAGUUCGUGAAACAGACUCUCGCCAAAAUCAACCAGUUGAUCUCUAAAGGCACUGAAGCACUGCGUUCAGAGAUAUGCCAGAGUCAAAGUGAGAUUAAAUCUCUGAAAAUGAAGCUAUUGGAGAUGACUGUUGGUAAGGAAGUACCUGGAAAUACAGUGGAAAAGAACCCCACAGACAGAGGAAGAGGAGGAAUGUACGGAAGCACCAUUAUCACCAGAGUUUGCAGAGGAUUUUCAGGUUUGUUAUAUUUUACAUGUUUACAAGAAUUGUGCAGUCUGACCAUGGGGUUGACGUUAUCUGUGAGAAUG
rnacentral:lncRNA from 1 species